UCCUUCGGGAGGCAGCCGUAGGGAAUUUUUCGCAAAGGGGGAAAGUCUGAAGGAGCACCGCCGGGUGAGUGAUGAAGGUCUUUGGAUUGUAAAAGUCUGUUCUUUGGGAAGAACAAGUGCGUUUUGAAUAGGGCGGUACCUUGACGGUACCUAACCNGAAAGCCACGGCUAANUACGUGCCAGCAGCCGCGGUAAUACGUAGGUGGCGAGCGUUGUCCGGAAUUAUUGGGCGUAAAGGGCUUGCAGGUGGUUUGUUAAGUCAGAGUGAAAGCCCCCGGCUCAACCGGGGAGGGUCANNGAAACUGGGGAACUUGAGUGCAGAAGAGGAGANAGAAUUCCAGGUGUAGCGGUNAAAUNNNAGAGUUGUGGAGGAACACCAGGGGGGAGGGGGCCUCUCUGGCAGNNACUGACGCUGAGAGCG
rnacentral:rRNA from 1 species